CCACCCCAAAGGUUGGGAGGGGGCUCGAGGCCAUCAGGCUCCAGGCCGCACUUGGCGCUGCCCCCUGGCGCCAGGGAAACAAAGGUUACAGGCUGCUGUCCUCAGGGUGCCAGACAUCUUCUGCUCAAGAGCCAGCUGCCCUGGCCACCACAGCCCCACCUCCACCACCAGGCUGGGCAUCCCGAAGCUGGCAGGCAUCUCUUCAGGCAGCCGCCAGUCCUGGCACUGGCUCCCCCACUCAGCCCCUUGGCCCUGCCAGCCCUUUGAAGCUCAUGCAGCGCUUCCUGUUUGGGGCGGGCGAUGCCAGGGCCCCUCCCCCACCAUUGUUCUGGAGAGACCAUAGGUCCAUCUGUUGCCCCAUGGUGGGGCCCCUAGGCAGUGCCACACGGGAGCAGCACCACAAAGGACUCUGCUGGCAGCUUUGCUUAUGUGGGGUGCAGAGGCAGGUGCCUGCAGCUCACCUUCCCUCCAUGACAUGAUCUCCCAGCUCUGACCCUUGACCUGUUCCCUCGCGGCAUCUCCACAGGGCUGGAAGGUGAACCCCACUUCCUUUACCAGGUCCUCUGGUUUCUCUUCCCAGGCCAGGACCUAAACCGUUCACAACUCCCAGCAGGCCAGAGCUGCAGAGACCUCAGAUA
rnacentral:lncRNA from 1 species